AAAAAAUUUGGCGGUAUUUUAGUCUAUUCAGAGGAACCUGUUUUGUAAUCGAUAAUCCACGAUGGACCUUACUUAAAUUUGUAUUCAGUUUAUAUACCGUCGUUAUUAGAAUAUUUUAUUAGAAAGUUAAUUUUCAAGAUUUUUAAAAAGAAAAAAUAUCAGAUCAAGGUGUAGCUUAUGUUUAAGUAUAAAUGGGUUACAAUAAAAUUAUUUAUAUGAAUAUAAAUUUGAAAUGUUUAUUGAAGGUGGAUUUGAUAGUAAAAUUAUAUAGAUUAAUAAUUUGAUUUUAGCUCUAAAAUAUGCACACAUCGCCCGUCACUCUUAUUAUUAAGGUAAGAUAAGUCGUAACAUAGUAGAUGUACUGGAAAGUGUACCUAGAAUGCAAUUUAAAGCUUAUUCAGUAAAGCAUUUCAUUUACAUUGAAAAGAUUUUUGUGCAAAUCAAUAUAAAUUGAUUAUUUUUUAUUUAUUAAUUUUUUUUUUUAUUGUAUAAUUUAUUAAAAAUAAUUAUUAAUAGAUUUGUUUUAGUAGUUUAUAAAGAAAAAAUAAUUUUAAUUAUAGUUAAAUAGUAUUGUGAAAGAAAAUUGAAAUAAUUUGAAAAAUU
rnacentral:rRNA from 1 species